rnacentral:sRNA from 1 species
CUUGGUAUUCGGUAUCGGAUUUAAAAAAUGAACGGGAGAAGGCUGUCCUGUCCGCCCAUUUCAUAACAACGCCAAAUAGCAAUUGACUAAUAUUUGCAUCAAGUGGAAUGCUGAACCAAGAGGAGUACAUUGAGAAAGGUAAUAAAGGAGCGUGUGAAUGAAACUCUAGAAUACCCCCGCGUAUCUACUGGGGACAACUUGCACUUGAGGGGUGGUCUGCCGGAUUGCGGAUUGCGGAUUGCAUCCGCCGUUGCCAGGUGUAGUCUGGCUUUGAGCUUGAUGGAAUCACGAAUUGUCUUAUGGCCGAAUAUCGAAAAAAAAAAAAAAAGCGAAACGUCGCGGGGGACUCGUUCCCAAUCGAGCUUUGAGUUGAUCUCGGCCUUGCAAAGAUUGGAUAUAGAUAUUAUAGAUAUCAUAGGAUAAAAGGAGGUUGUAUCACUUACUCAAGGGUAAAAACUGAAAAUUGCUCCGUUAUCCCCAAGGAUGAUAUUUUGCUGCCAAGCGUGUCAUUCUUUUUGAGGUGAAAAAGCAUGUCAAAAUCAACAUUUUAUUUGGACCC